rnacentral:rRNA from 1 species
UGGAGCUGAAAUCAGUCGAAGAUACCAGCUGGCUGCAACUGUUUAUUAAAAACACAGCACUGUGCAAACACGAAAGUGGACGUAUACGGUGUGACGCCUGCCCGGUGCCGGAAGGUUAAUUGAUGGGGUUAUCCGUAAGGAGAAGCUCUUGAUCGAAGCCCCGGUAAACGGCGGCCGUAACUAUAACGGUCCUAAGGUAGCGAAAUUCCUUGUCGGGUAAGUUCCGACCUGCACGAAUGGCGUAAUGAUGGCCAGGCUGUCUCCACCCGAGACUCAGUGAAAUUGAACUCGCUGUGAAGAUGCAGUGUACCCGCGGCAAGACGGAAAGACCCCGUGAACCUUUACUAUAGCUUGACACUGAACACUGGUCCUUGAUGUGUAGGAUAGGUGGGAGGCUUUGAAGUGUGGACGCCAGUCUGCAUGGAGCCAUCCUUGAAAUACCACCCUUUAAUGGCUGGUGUUCUAACGUGGGCCCGUAAUCCGGGUUGCGGACAGUGUCUGGUGGGUAGUUUGACUGGGGCGGUCUCCUCCCAAAGAGUAACGGAGGAGCACGAAGGUUAGCUAAUCCUGGUCGGACAUCAGGAGGUUAGUGCAAAGGCAUAAGCUAGCUUGACUGCGAGAGUGACGGCUCGAGCAGGUGCGAAAGCAGGUCUUAGUGAUCCGGUGGUUCUGAAUGGAAGGGCCAUCGCUCAACGGAUAAAAGGUACUCCGGGGAUAACAGGCUGAUACCGCCCAAGAGUUCAUAUCGACGGCGGUGUUUGGCACCUCGAUGUCGGCUCAUCACAUCCUGGGGCUGAAGUAGGUCCCAAGGGUAUGGCUGUUCGCCAUUUAAAGUGGUACGCGAGCUGGGUUUAGAACGUCGUGAGACAGUUCGGUCCCUAUCUGCCGUGGGCGCUGGAGAAUUGAGGGGGGCUGCUCCUAGUACGAGAGGACCGGAGUGGACGCAUCACUGGUGUUCGGGUUGUCAUGCCAAUGGCACUGCCCGGUAGCUAAAUGCGGAAAAGAUAAGUGCUGAAAGCAUCUAAGCACGAAACUUGCCCCGAGAUGAGUUCUCCCUGAGACUUUAAGUCUCCUGAAGGAACGUUGAAGACGACGACGUUGAUAGGUCGGGUGUGUAAGUGUAGCGAUACAUUGAGCUAACCGAUACUAAUGAACCGUGAGGCUUAACCUUACAACGCCGAAG